rnacentral:rRNA from 1 species
AUUGAACGCUGGCGGCAGGCCUAACACAUGCAAGUCGAACGGUAACAGGAAGAAGCUUGCUUCUUUGCUGACGAGUGGCGGACGGGUGAGUAAUGUCUGGGAAACUGCCUGAUGGAGGGGGAGAACUACUGGAAACGGUAGCUAAUACCGCAUAACGUCGCAAGACCAAAGAGGGGGACCUUCGUGCCUCUUGCCAUCGGAUGUGCCCAGAUGGGAUUAGCUAGUAGGUGGGGUAACGGCUCACCUAGGCGACGAUCCCUAGCUGGUCUGAGAGGAUGACCAGCCACACUGGAACUGAGACACGGUCCAGACUCCUACGGGAGGCAGCAGUGGGGAAUAUUGCACAAUGGGCGCAAGCCUGAUGCAGCCAUGCCGCGUGUAUGAAGAAGGCCUUCGGGUUGUAAAGUACUUUCAGCGGGAAGGAAGGGAGUAAAGUUAAUACCUUUACUCAUUGACGUUACCCGCAGAAGAAGCACCGGCUAACUCCGUG